GACGAACGCUGGCGGCAUGCCUAACACAUGCAAGUCGAGCGAGCUGAUUCCUUCGGGAUGAAGCUAGCGGCGGACGGGGGAGUAACACGUGGGCAACCUGCCUCAUAGAGGGGAAUAGCCUUCCGAAAGGAAGAUUAAUACCGCAUAAGAUUGCAUCUUCGCAUGAAGAAGCAAUUAAAGGAGUAAUCCGUCUAUGGGAUGGGCCCGCGGCGCAUUAGCUAGUUGGUGAGGUAACGGCUCACCAAGGCGACGAUGCGUAGCCGACCUGAGAGGGUGCUCGGGCACAUUAGGACUGAGCCACGGCACAGCCGCCUAGGGGAGGCAGCAGUGAGGUAUCUUGCACAACGGGGGACACCCUGGUGCGGCAGUGCCGCGUGAGUGAUGACGGCCUUCGGGUGGUAAAGCGCUGUCUUCGGGGACGAUAAUGACGGUACCCGAGGAGGAAGCCACGGCUAACUACGUGCCAGCAGCCGCCGUAA
rnacentral:rRNA from 1 species